ensembl:snoRNA
UACGGCUCCUAUCGAAGCCGUUCGUGCUCUCCUGUAGCAGUGAACGGUCAACAGGAAGCUGAGAUGAAAACUUUCACCGACGGUCGCGGUUCAGUUUAACAGUAGCUGCUCCAGCAACAUUAAGGGGAAGGACAUUA